UACGAAGGGGGCUAGCGUUGCUCGGAAUUACUGGGCGUAAAGGGCGCGUAGGCGGGAUGGCAAGUCGGUCGUGAAAUCCCUCGGCUCAACCGAGGAACGUCGAUCGAUACCGCUGUUCUUGAGGAUUGCAGAGGAGACUGGAAUUCCUGGUGUAGCGGUGAAAUGCGCAGAUAUCAGGAGGAACACCGCUGGCGAAGGCAGGUCUCUGGGCAUUAACUGACGCUGAGGAGCGAAAGCAUGGGGAGCGAACAGG
rnacentral:rRNA from 1 species